AUUGAGUUUUUCUUUGGCAGAUCGAAAAGUAAAUCUUAAUUGUCAGCAAAGUCAUUUAAUUCCUAUCUGGAUGGCCCCAAAAUUGAAAUUUUUAUGUAAAAAUUCUUAAUUAAAAUUAAAAUUUCUUCGAUAAAUGAUAAGGAAGGUUAUGUGAAUGUUUUUUCGUGUUUUUUUAAAUCCAAUCAACGAAACAAACACAUUGGUACAAUUUUUAGAACAAUAGCCACUGACAGAAACAUUAAAAAUGGUCGUUGUUUGGGGCUAUUUUGUGCAUUUCAAAGAGAAAUGUUCCUAAAAAAUAUGCCCCCCCCGUUUAGAGCUCAAAACUCGUCACGUUUCAAGAAACUUUCAAGACAAGAACCCACGACAGAUGUAAAAUAUACUUUAAACGUGACAUAUUGAAUUUUCCUGCUUGGUUUAAAAUGAACUUUUUUCUUUAUUGAAUAAUUCUUUCAUCGUUCUUCAGGAUGAUUAUCGUGCAUGCUGUAUACAUAGUGGAAUUUUUGAAAAUCAUGCGAGAAUUUAAAGAAAAUUGAGGACAAGCUGCUGAUCCAAAGAAUUUUCUCCAGGGAUUUAGAUUCAGGUGGAGAUGGUUUAAUAUCAGACAUCAUGUGGAAAACUGAAUGCAGAAGAAAUAGUAUGCCGGUUUCUAAUGGAUUUUACAUACUCCGUGUCAUCAUCUUUAAUUUUAUCAUUUGUGGAUUAUCGAGUCCACCCGAAGAGAUUGACGAACUGUCAUUUAGAGAUUAUCCAGCUUAUACAUAUCCAUCCAUGAGAAAUCGUCUUACGCCUUUUAAACGAUUAUCACAUGCAACUAUGGUGUUAAAAGACGAUCAACCCGCCAUUUCAGAAUACAAUGUACUCACUAAUUUUGAUUUUAAUGCUUCUUAUUCGGAUAUGAUUCCAAGAUUUCGAGUUCGGAGACCUCAUGUUAAACGUAAAACUUUGAUACCAAAAGCUGAUACAAGAUACUUGAGAGAUACUCUACAACAUCAUUUUAGCUCCGUCAGAGAUGAUUCGGAUAAUGGAAGUUUGAAAUUCAAAGCUCGUGAUAUUUUAUUAAAUAAAAUGAAAGAAUAUAAUCUUGAUAUCGUAUUGCAUAAUUUUACGGCCGUGGAAUUAAGUGAUGCCGAUGAUGUUUCUAUUAUCGAAGGAGUAAAUGUAAUUGGGAUUUUGCACGGACGUAAUUGGGGAAAAUCACAAGAUGGAAUAUUGUUGAUUGGUGCACAUUAUGAUACAGUACCCAAUUCACCAGGAGUCGACGAUAAUGGUUCCGGUGUAUCUGCUAUGUUAGAAAUAGCUAGAGUACUUAGUUUAUAUAACUGUAAGUUCAAGAACACGAUUAUUUUCGUAGCUUUUGAUAUGGAAGAAGUGGGUGGUUUAGGUAGUUUAUAUUUUGUAAGAGAUUUCUUAGUUCCAGACAUUUUACAAAAGAAUAAAGGACAUUUUCAAGGUGCUUAUAUCCUAGAUUCUGUUUUAAAUUUUGAUAAUAACAUUAAUUCUCAAGAAAUCCCUCAAGAUAUCAGAAAAGUGUUACCAUCUUUAUCUAGACAUAUAGCAAUAGGUGGAUAUCGAGGAAAUUUUCUAGCGAUGAUGUCAAGAUGGACAAUGGAUGCUCAUCUUUCAUCCCAAUUAUUAAAAUCUUGGGAACAGCUGGAUCAACCUCAAUUUAAAUUAUUCCACAUGGGUAUAAAUAUGGGAAGUCGUGUACCACCCAUGAAUAUCCUAGCUAAACACUUAAACUUUUUAAGAAGUGAUCACGUUAUGUUUUGGUAUCAUAAUACAUCUAACGGUCCCAGUUCUCUAAAUGCUGUUCUUAUCACAGAUACAGCUGCAAGUUUAAAACAAGUGGAAAUAUGAAUCCUAUGAGAAUUCGAAAGAAUUUAGUUUCUAAAUUAUAUCUCGUAGGAAAACUCCUUUGACAACUUAGAAAUUAAUUUUAUACAUUCAUUACACUAUUUCGUGGACGAAUGAGACAUUGCUACCAUUCUUUGUGUGACGAUUUAAGUUUUAUCACCCCUGAAAAUUUAUUGUUUGUUAAAAAAUUAGUUGAUGCAUUAGUUAUAACAUUAAUAAAUAUCUCUGACGGAUAUU